UAAUUUUCAUUUAAAGCCAGUUCAUCGAUUCAGUGUUGUCAUCAUCCAGCUCCAUUCAGUUAAAAUUGUAUCUAUGCAAUCAAGUUGACAGUAUUGCCAGAAAUAAAGUGUCCCCAACUAAGCAAGCCAAAGGCGACAGUGGAAAGGAAGCAUAAAUCCA